UACACACCUGCUUUCUCCUGGAAGGCACUAAGGAGGGAACUGCUGACUUUAAAAGUUUUCAAAGAAGGAGUCUAAUCAUUGGAAUGAGCCUUCUGGGGUGCUGAAGCCUAAAACAGAUGAUCAGGUCAGGUCAUGCUAUAGGAAAUAGCAAACCAUGAACAUCAUGGAGCUUCCAAGAAGGCCCUCCCAGAGCCUUUGGGAUGGCAUUUUGUGGUCUGAGAGGGUGAAGUAAAGAGGAACUGGAGAGAGUGAGAAGUGUGAGUGAUGCCUCUACUAGGAGCUUGCAGAUGCUGCUGAAGAACAACAGAACUCCAGUCCUGGCUCUGCUGCUGCUGGCAUGCUGCGUCUUUGGCAAGUUAAGAUGUCCUGCAAGAGUGAUGUGCUCCUGGAAGAAAAAGUCAACACAGAAGGAGCCUGUAUAUGGCCAGAUUACUUAGACCAUCAUCUUUAAAGCUGCUUUUGUCAACUGUGCCUGAUGAGCUUAAUGCUCAGGUAAAACCAGCUUAAAAUGAUACCACUAUAUCAAGAGCUGUGGUUUCACUUCUCCAAAUCUUUUUGUACUCUUU
rnacentral:lncRNA from 1 species